GACGCUUUGACCGAGUGGUUAAGGUGCAUCCCUGCUAAGGAUGUGGGCUCUGCCCGCGUGUGUUCGAAUCGCACAGGCGUCG